CAUUUCUCCAGUUCAUAGAAUCAUUUCUAUAGUAGACGUCUCCUUCUGAGCUUCUCAAAAAAGCCACAGAACUCCAAUCUCGACGAUGAGUUGAUCCUCGGUGGUCAGAGUGAAGUAGUUGCUCCUGCCCUGUCUGCAAAGACAGCGAUACUAGUCAUUUGAUUGUAUUGUAUAGGGAGAAAUGAUGAUCUCGUUUUGGUGCCCAAGGCUUCGGUCUGGGGACUUGAACAGCUGCCGAAGGACGUCUGAGAGAC
rnacentral:snoRNA from 1 species